rnacentral:rRNA from 1 species
AUUGAACGCUGGCGGCAGGCCUAACACAUGCAAGUCGAGCGGUAGAGAGAAGCUUGCUUCUCUUGAGAGCGGCGGACGGGUGAGUAAUGCCUAGGAAUCUGCCUGGUAGUGGGGGAUAACGUUCGGAAACGGACGCUAAUACCGCAUACGUCCUACGGGAGAAAGCAGGGGACCUUCGGGCCUUGCGCUAUCAGAUGAGCCUAGGUCGGAUUAGCUAGUUGGUGGGGUAAUGGCUCACCAAGGCGACGAUCCGUAACUGGUCUGAGAGGAUGAUCAGUCACACUGGAACUGAGACACGGUCCAGACUCCUACGGGAGGCAGCAGUGGGGAAUAUUGGACAAUGGGCGAAAGCCUGAUCCAGCCAUGCCGCGUGUGUGAAGAAGGCCUUCGGAUUGUAAAGCACUUUAAGUUGGGAGGAAGGGCAGUAAAUUAAUACUUUGCUGUUUUGACGUUACCGACAGAAUAAGCACCGGCUAACUCUGUG